GUUCCUUUGUAAUAUGACCCCUUGCCCUGUUUAGGAUAGAAUCUUCCAUGGAAGUGCCCUGUGUGUGUCCCCUUCUCUUACUGUGCCCUUGGGUGUGGCCUACCCAGGUGUCAGUCAACCUGCUGACAGUGGACAUCAUGAAGAUAGACUCAGCCCCUGAAACCUGACCCCUUGCCUCAUUUGAAUAGCUUCUCCUCAAUAAAAGGGGUCAGCGCGUGCUCUCUCUCUCUCUUUCUGCGGACCCUUAAGGUCAGAGGAGCUG
rnacentral:lncRNA from 1 species